GACGAACGCUGGCGGCGUGCCUAACACAUGCAAGUCGAACGGAAAGGCCCGGCUUUUUGGCGGUGCUGGGGUUACCAACGGGGGAGUAACACGUGGGUAAGGAGCCCUUGACUGAGACAUAACUUAAGGAAAGUGGGGCUAAUACGGGAUAGGAGCUAUUGCUGUUUGGGGGGGGCUGGAAAGAUUCGGCGGUUGGGGAUGGACUCGCGGCUUAUCAGCUUGUUGGUGUGGUAGUGGCUUAGCAAGGCCUUGCCGGGUAGCCGGCCUGGGAGGGUGACCGGCCACAUUGGGACUGCGAUACGGCCCAGCCUCCUACGGGACGCAGCGGUGGGGAAUAUUGCACAGUGGGCGGAAGCCUGAUCCAGCGACGCCGCGUGCGGGAUAUCGGCCUUCGGGUUGUAAACCACUUUCCUCUGUGACGAAGCGUGAGUGACGGUACUGGGUAAAGAAGCUCCGGCUAACUACGUG
rnacentral:rRNA from 1 species